CAAUAGCGUAUAUUUAAGUUGCUGCAGUUAAAAAGCUCGUCGUUGGAUUUCGGGUGGGAAUGGCCGGUCCGCCGUUUCGGUGUGCACUUGCUACGCCCACCUUGCUGCCGGGGACGUGCUCUUGAGUUCACGCUCGGGACACGGAGUCGGCGAGGUUACUUUGAGUAAAUUAGAGUGUUCAAAGCAGGCCUACGCUCUGAAUACAUUAGCAUGGAAUAACACGAUAGGACUCUGGCCUAUCUUGUUGGUCUGUAGGACCGGAGUAAUGAUUAAGAGGGACAGUCGGGGGCAUUCGUAUUUCAUUGUCAGAGGUGAAAUUCUUGGAUUUAUGAAAGACGAACUACUGCGAAAGCAUUUGCCAAGGAUGUUUUCAUUAA
rnacentral:rRNA from 1 species